rnacentral:lncRNA from 1 species
GCCCCCCAGUACAUAGUUGUAUAUUCUAGUUGUGAGUGUCUGGAUGUGCUAUGUGGGAUGCCACCUCAGCAUGGCCUGAUGAGUGGUGCCAUGUCCAUGCCAAGGAUCCAAACUGAUGAAACUCCGGGCCACUGAAGCAGUGUGCACAAACUUAACCACUCGGCCACACGGCUGGCCCCUUGAUGACUGUUUCUAUUGUCACUUUUUUGAAUGGAUAACUGAACAUCAUUUUGCAAUGUAUUUCAUCUUCAGAGAGAUUCAAGGAGAGGACUCCAACACUUACUCUAGAAGACAGAUUUCUGAUAAACUUUCAGAUCAUAAAAGUGAACUGGCCCUGCAAACGGAAGCUGGACAACUUGAUAUUAAUUUAAGAGAGACUUAUGUCUGUUGCUUUGUAAGCCACUCAGAAAGAUACCUGAACAUCUGAUGACAUCCUCAAAGACAUUUAAAACUGCA